rnacentral:snoRNA from 1 species
AUGCACAGUGAACACCCAUGGGUCGCUUGUGUAGCCAUCUGUGGAAAUAAAUAUUGUGCUAUAGUGAAGUGUGGUCUACCUCUGCAGUAGAAGACGGUCUGUUCUUACUACAUGUAUUCAUGAGACCAGUACACUG